UACUGACGCUGAGGUACGAAAGCAUGGGGAGCAAACAGGAUUAGAUACCCUGGUAGUCCAUGCCGUAAACGAUGUCUACUAGCCGUUGGGGCCUUUGAGGCUUUAGUGGCGCAGCUAACGCGAUAAGUAGACCGCCUGGGGAGUACGGUCGCAAGACUAAAACUCAAAUGAAUUGACGGGGGCCCGCACAAGCGGUGGAGCAUGUGGUUUAAUUCGAUGCAACGCGAAGAACCUUACCUGGCCUUGACAUACUAGAAACUUUCCAGAGAUGGAUUGGUGCCUUCGGGAAUCUAGAUACAGGUGCUGCAUGGCUGUCGUCAGCUCGUGUCGUGAGAUGUUGGGUUAAGUCCCGCAACGAGCGCAACCCUUUUCCUUACUUGCCAGCAUUUCGG
rnacentral:rRNA from 1 species